UGGGGAAUAUUGCACAAUGGGGGAAACCCUGAUGCAGCGACGCCGCGUGAACGAAGAAGGUAUUCGUAUCGUAAAGUUCUGUCCUAUGGGAAGAUAAUGACAGUACCAUAGAAGAAAGCUCCGGCUAAAUACGUGCCAGCAGCCGCGGCAAUACGUAUGGAGCGAGCGUUGUCCGGAAUUAUUGGGCGUAAAGGGUACGCAGGCGGUUUAAUAAGUCGAAUGUUAAAGAUCGGGGCUCAACCCCGCAAAGCAUUGGAAACUGAUAAACUUGAGUAGUGGAGAGGAAAGUGGAAUUCCUAGUGUAGUGGUGAAAUACGUAGAUAUUAGGAGGAAUACCAGUAGCGAAGGCGACUUUCUGGACACAAACUGACGCUGAGGUACGAAAGCGUGGGGAGCAAACAGG
rnacentral:rRNA from 1 species